UGGAUAGCUCAGUUGGCUAGAGUGUAGUGCUGAUAAUGCUAAGGUUUGCAGGUUUGAUCCCAUAUUCCUACUAGAUGAU